rnacentral:rRNA from 1 species
AACGAACGCUGGCGGCAUGCCUAACACAUGCAAGUCGAACGAGACCAUCGGGUCUAGUUGCGCACGGGUGCGUAACGCGUGGGAAUCUGCCCAUGGGUUCGGAAUAAUAGUUGUAAAUGACUGCUAAUACCGGAUGAUUACGUAAGUUAAAAGAUUUAUCGCCCAAGGAUGAGCCCGCGUAGGAUUAGCUAGUUGGUGAGGUAAAGGCUCACCACGGCGACGAUCCUUAGCUGGUCUGAGAGGAUGAUCAGCCACACUGGGACUGAGACACGGCCCAGACUCCUACGGGAGGCAGCAGUGGGGAAUAUUGGACAAAGGGCGAAAGCCUGAUCCAGCAAUGCCGCGUGAGUGAUGAAGGCCUUAGGGUUGUAAAGCUCUUUUACCCGGGAUGAUAAUGACAGUACCGGGAGAAUAAGCUCCGGCUAACUCCGUG